rnacentral:rRNA from 1 species
GACGAACGCUGGCGGCGUGCUUAACACAUGCAAGUCGAACGAGAGUGUAGAGAAAGCUUGCUUUUUCUACAAUCUAGUGGCAAACGGGUGAGUAACGCGUAAACAACCUGCCCUACGGAUGGGGACAACAGCUGGAAACGGCUGCUAAUACCGAAUACGUUCCGAAAGUCGCAUGACUAUCGGAAGAAAGGAUGGCCUCUAUUUAUAAGCUAUCGCCGGAGGAGGGGUUUGCGUCUGAUUAGCUAGUUGGAGGGGUAACGGCCCACCAAGGCGACGAUCAGUAGCCGGUCUGAGAGGAUGAACGGCCACAUUGGAACUGAGACACGGUCCAGACUCCUACGGGAGGCAGCAGUGGGGAAUCUUCCGCAAUGGGCGAAAGCCUGACGGAGCAACGCCGCGUGAGUGAAGACGGCCUUCGGGUUGUAAAGCUCUGUUAUACGGGACGAAUAAUCUUGUGGUUAAUACCCAUGAGAAGUGACGGUACCGUAAGAGAAAGCCACGGCUAACUACGUG